UCAUGGCCAGAAAAGUGUGCUCCAGAGAGAAAGCCAAGGAUGUGGCUGGACAAGAUUCUGCUAGUGCCUCACAAGGACCAAAAGAUCAGAAUGUUCAUCACAUAAAGGGCUCUUGGAAGAGAUUAGGUGUAUGAAUGAUGAAUCCCAUCAGCCAUUUCAGGAGAGGCCAGGAAUAGAGAUGUGUUUAUCCAAGGAAGAUUGUGAAGAAGCAUCUUGUCUAAUGAAGUGAAUCCCCUACAAGGCUUUUUAAGAUGUUAUACAAUGGAAACACUACCAGCUUGGACUGAAAUGGACAAAGAGAAGGUGAAAUGAAGUAAGGCUAUCUGACCCCAAAAAUUCUAUAGGCAGGAAACAGGCUAAUGAUACCACGCGACCUCAAACACAUGCUAUCCUUCAAAAAAAAAAAAGGAAGGAUGACUCUGAGGGCAGAGCUGCAGGUCCAGAGGACAGACAUUGAAGCCACAGAGGAUUAUUCCCAGGCCUUGAACCCUAAUGGAGUUUGCCAAGCUGGAUUUUUGAAAUUGCUUGGGAUUGAAAUCAGGACUAUCAUUAGUUGAACUCUUCACCUAUGACAAGAAUGAUCGGGCAGAGAGCACCUGGAAUCCAUGUUCUCCAAGGUACAUUUUAAAACCUACUGAUAAGUUUUACAAAUUUCUCUACAAAGUUUGACAAAUUUCUCCAUACAGAUCUUUUGUAAGAGUUUCUCUUGUUCAGGAAUUUGAGUGCAG